rnacentral:lncRNA from 1 species
GGAGAUAUAUAAAAAUAGGCAUUUUUGAGGAGAGAGAUUCGGUUUUAGGUAUUACAAUAGUGAAAAGCAUUACUGUACAUGUAAACAUAACUGUAUCUGACAUUUUUACCCUUUUGUUUAUCUGACCAAGAUUUGAAGUGAUUCAUGCGAAGAAGAAAUUGUUGCUGAAGACGCAUCUCACCGUGACGAAGAAGAAGCUACCGGUGAACUGGUGUUGAAAUUGCAUUCGUGAAAUCUGUUAAUUGGAAGUAACGAAUCAAAAGAGAAACAAGAUUGUUUUUUUUUUUUGGGUAAAAAAAAACAAGAUCCUAACUUUUGUAAUAAGAAAAUGAAAAAUCAUGUUUAUCUGCUUUUUAAAGGAGAAAAACUAAACCCUAAUAGAUAGUAAUUAGGGAACCCAAACAUUGUUCAUAAAAUCUCCUCUAUCACUGAAUUCCC